GAUGAACGCUGGCGGCGUGCUUAACACAUGCAAGUCGAACGAAGCACUUUGAAAGCUUGCUUUUGGAGUGACUGAGUGGCGGACGGGUGAGUAACGCGUGGGUAACCUGCCUUAUACAGGGGGAUAACAGUUGGAAACGACUGCUAAUACCGCAUAAGCGCACAGUGCCGCAUGGCACAGAGUGAAAAACUCCGGUGGUAUAAGAUGGACCCGCGUCUGAUUAGCUAGUUGGUGAGGUAACGGCUCACCAAGGCGACGAUCAGUAGCCGGCUUGAGAGAGUGAUCGGCCACAUUGGGACUGAGACACGGCCCAAACUCCUACGGGAGGCAGCAGUGGGGAAUAUUGCACAAUGGGGGAAACCCUGAUGCAGCAACGCCGCGUGAGUGAAGAAGUAUUUCGGUAUGUAAAGCUCUAUCAGCAGGGAAGAUAAUGACGGUACCUGACUAAGAAGCCCCGGCUAACUACGUGCCAGCAGCCGCCGUAACAC
rnacentral:rRNA from 1 species